GACAGAGGUGCCGAGCGUUGUUCGGAUUCAUUGGGCGUAAAGGGUGCGUAGGUGGCGGGGUAAGUCAGGUGUGAAAUCUCGGGGCUCAACCCCGAAACUGCACUUGAUACUGCCUUGCUCGAGUACUGGAGAGGAGAUUGGAAUUUACGGUGUAGCAGUGAAAUGCGUAGAUAUCGUAAGGAAGACCAGUGGCGAAGGCGAAUCUCUGGACAGUUACUGACACUGAGGCACGAAGGCCAGGGGAGCAAACGGG
rnacentral:rRNA from 1 species